rnacentral:tRNA from 3 species
GGAGAGGUGGCGGAGCCUGGUUGAACGCGCUACAUUCGAAACGUAGUGAACCUUUAUCGGUUCCGGGAGUUCAAAUCUCCCCCUCUCCG